UGAAUACGAGACGCUAAGGCGUCGAAGUAGUGUAUGUCAUACUUCCAAGAAAAGCCUGCACUGUCAUAAGUAAAAAAUGCCUGUACCAUAACCGACACAGGUGGGUAGGUAGAGUAUACUAAGGGGCGCGAGAUAACUCUCUCUAAGGAACUCGGCAAAAUAACUCCGUAACUUCGGGAGAAGGAGUACCUUAUUCUAUAAGGUUGCAAUAACAAGAUCCAAGCAACUGUUUAUCAAAAACACAGGUCUCCGCUAAGUCGUAAGACGAUGUAUGGGGGCUGACGCCUGCCCAGUGCCAGAAGGUUAAAGAAGUCGGUUAGCAUUAGCGAAGCUGGUAACUGAAGCCCUGGUGAACGGCGGCCGUAACAAUAACGGUCCUAAGGUAGCGAAAUUCCUUGUCGGGUAAGUUCCGACCCGCACGAAAGGCGUAAUGAUUUGGAUACUGUCUCGGAGAGGGGCUCGGUGAAAUAGACUUGUCUGUGAAGAUGCGGACUACCUGCACCAGGACAGAAAGACCCUAUGAAGCUUUACUGUAACUUGAAAUUGAAAUUGGACUUUAUUCGCGCAGUAUAGGUGGGAGGUGUUGAUUAUAAUCUUGCGGGAUUAUUGGAGCCAUCAGUGAGAUACCACUCUUGUAAUGUUAGAUUUCUAACUUUGAAUCAUUAUCUGGUCAAAGGACAGUUUCAGGCGGGCAGUUUGACUGGGGCGGUCGCCUCCCAAACGGUAACGGAGGCGUACAAAGGUUUCCUCUGAACGGGUAGAAAUCGUAUCUAGAGUGUAAAGGCAUAAGGAAGCUUGACUGUGAGACCUACAAGUCGAACAGGGUCGAAAGUCGGUCUUAGUGAUCUGACGGUACUGAGUGGAAAGGCCGUCACUCAACGGAUAAAAGUUACUCUAAGGAUAACAGGCUGAUCUCCCCCAAGAGUUCACAUCGACGGGGAGGUUUGGCACCUCGAUGUCGGCUCAUCGCAUCCUGGGGCGGUAGUACGUCCCAAGGGUUGGGCUGUUCGCCCAUGAAAGCGGUACGCGAGCUGGGUUCAGAACGUCGUGAGACAGUUCGGUCCAUAUCCGGUGUAGGCGUUAGAAUAUUGAGAGGAGCCUUCUUUAGUACGAGAGGACCGAGAAGGACAUACCUCUGGUGUACCAGUUAUCGUGCCAACGGUAAACGCUGGGUAGCUAUGUAUGGAGUGGAUAACCGCUGAAAGCAUCUAAGUGGGAAGCCCACCUCAAGAUAAGUAUUCGC
rnacentral:rRNA from 1 species